UAACCCCUCAAGCUCAGCUUGGUGUUGGGGCCUGCCGACUGGCAGCCCUUAAAAUCAGUGGCGGCGCCAUCUGGCUCUAAGCGUAGUAAUUUCUCUCGCUAUAGAGUCCCGAUGGAUGCUUGCCAGCAACCCCCAACUUUCUAU
rnacentral:misc_RNA from 1 species